rnacentral:tRNA from 1 species
GCCCUCGUAGCUUACAGUUAAAGCACUGGCCUUGUAAGCCAGACGACGCGACCACCCGUCGCCGAGGGCC